rnacentral:rRNA from 1 species
UACGUAGGUGGCGAGCGUUGUCCGGAAUUACUGGGCGUAAAGGAUGAGUAGGCGGCCUAUUAAGUCGGGCGUGAAAUAUCAGGGCUCAACCCUGAUCUUGCAUUCGAUACUGGUAGGCUUGAGGGCAGGAGAGGAAAGCGGAAUUCCCGGUGUAGCGGUAAAAUGCGUAGAUAUCGGGAGGAACACCAGUGGCGAAGGCGGCUUUCUGGACUGUACCUGACGCUGAGUCAUGAAAGCCAGGGGAGCAAAC